rnacentral:rRNA from 1 species
UGCUGCAUUACUAGGAUAACUUAAUUCAACAUCGAGGUGUCAAACUUUAUCUUCGAUAGCUUCUCUAAGAUAAAAUUAACCUGUUAUCCCUAAAGUAGCUUUUAUUUAUUUAUUGUCAAUUUUUUUUUUUAAAAUUGACAGGUCAUUAAAAUCCACUUUGUGAUUGUUAAAUUAAUAAAUUAAACAAAAAUUUGCUUCUAUUAAUUAUAUUGCAUUCUUUAUUUUUAAAAUGCUGUUGCCCCAACCAAACUACCAAGAUAUAAUUUUUUAUACAAUAAUAUAUUAAUAAUUGUAUUUAUUAUAAAAUAUAGUUAAGCUUUAUAGGGUCUUCUCGUCUUACAGUUUUAAAUAGCAUCUUCACUAUUAUUUAAAUUUAAAUUUUUUUAUAUUUAAGACAGUGGAAACCUCGUAAAACCAUUCACCUACGUUCAUCAAUUAAAUGACUAUUUAUUUUCCUACAUUACCACCGUCAAGAAUACAGCGGCCGUUGAGUCU